UUCAAAAUUUCCUAAGGAAUUAUACCUGGCUUUAUACCCGAGGAAAUUUUAUGACCGCAUGAAAACAUACUUCUUAGUUUCCUACUUUCUUUCAUACUUCCCCAUUCCUAUUUUCGUAGUUAAUAAGUUAAAAUUAAUUUUCUCUAUGUAUCUCAAAUAUUAUUUAUAAAAAAUGAGAAAAUUAAAUAUAUAAAAUAUAAUGAUGUAAGUAAUAUAUUUAAAUUAGUAUAUGGGUAUUCAAAUAUUUGUUUUCCUAACCAAGUAAGUAUAAUAAAAAUAUUAAUAAAUCAUCAAUAAAAAAUUUUAUUUAUAAAAUAAAAUUUAUUAUUUUUUAAAUUAUUUAAAUUAAUUAAUGGAAUUAAAUAUAAAAUAAAAAUUGAUAUAAAAAGUAUAAUUACUCCUCCUAGUUUAUUUGGAAUUGUUCGUAGAAUUGAAUAUGCAAAUAAAAAAUAUCAUUCAGGUUUAAUAUGAAUUGGUGUAAUUAUUGGAUUUGCUAUUUUAAAAUUAUCUGGAUCACCUAAGAUGUAAUGUAUUUGUAAGUUAAUUAAUAUAAAUAAAAUAAAUGUUAAAAUGAUUGUAAUUAAAUCUUUAAUUGAAAAAUAUGGAUGAAAAUUAAUUUUAUAAAUAUUUAAUUUUGAGUGUAUUGGGUUUGAUGAUCCUGUAACAUGAAGGAUAAUUAAAUGUAUAAAUACUAUUAUUAAAAUAAUAAAUGGUAAAAUAAAAUGAAAUGAAUAAAAUCGGUUUAAUGUAUCAUUAUUAAUUGAAAAUCCACCUCAGAUUCAUUCAACUGUAAAUUGUCCAAUAUAUGGGAUAGCUGAAAUUAAAUUAGUAAUAACUAUUGCUCCUCAAAAAGAUAUUUGACCUCAUGGUAAUACAUAUCCAAGAAAUGCUGUUGCUAUUGAUAAAAAUAAAAUUGAAACUCCAAUUGAUUAAACUUGAAAUAAUUUAAAUGAAUAAUAAAAUAUAUUUCGUGCAAUAUGUAAAUAUAUAAUGAAAAAAUAAAAUGAUGCUCCGUUUAUAUGAAUUAAUCGAAUUAAUCAUCCUGAGUUUAUAUCUUUUAUAAUAUUUGAAAUUCUAUUAAAUGCAAUAUUGAUAUUUGGACAGUAAUGUAUUGAUAAAAAUAAUCCUGAGAUAAUUUGAAUUAUUAAAAAUAUUCCAAGUAUUGAUCCAAAAUUUCAUAAGUAAUUAAUAUUAAUUGGUGUAGGUAAAUUAAUAAAUGAUAUUGGUAAAUUUAUUAUAUGAAUUUUAUAAAU